rnacentral:rRNA from 1 species
UACGGGGGGGGGCAAGCGUUGUUCGGAAUUACUGGGCGUAAAGGGCUCGUAGGCGGCCAACUAAGUCAGACGUGAAAUCCCUCGGCUUAACCGGGGAACUGCGUCUGAUACUGGAUGGCUUGAAUUCGGGAGAGGGAUGUGGAAUUCCAGGUGUAGCGGUGAAAUGCGUAGAUAUCUGGAGGAACACCGGUGGCGAAGGCGGCAUCCUGGACCGAUAUUGACGCUGAUGCGCGAAAGCCAGGGGAGCAAACGGG